rnacentral:miRNA from 1 species
GUUUGUUUGUGUGUGUGUGU